CCGAGUUGUUGGGGUCCUUGUGGCCCCGCUCUCCCACCCUAUGUGUACCUUCUCUUGUUGCUUUGGCGGGCCCGCUUGCCCGCCGGCUCCUUGGAGCUGGCCAGUGCCCGCCGGAGGACCGUUAGACUCUUGUUACAACAGUGAUGUCUGAGCUCAAACUUAACAGUUAA
rnacentral:misc_RNA from 1 species